rnacentral:rRNA from 1 species
AGCGAACGCUGGCGGCAGGCCUAACACAUGCAAGUCGAACGAAGUCUUCGGACUUAGUGGCGGACGGGUGAGUAACACGUGGGAACGUUCCUUGAGGUUCGGAAUAACUCAGGGAAACUUGUGCGAAUACCGAAUGUGCCCUUCGGGGGAAAGAUUUAUCGCCUUUAGAGCGGCCCGCGUCUGAUUAGCUAGUUGGGAAGGUAAAGGCUCACCAAGGCGACGAUCAGUAGCUGGUCCGAGAGGAUGAUCAGCCAAAUUGGGACUGAGACACGGCCCAAACUCCUACGGGAGGCAGCAGUGGGGAAUCUUGCGCAAUGGGCGAAAGCCUGACGCAGCCAUGCCGCGUGAAUGAUGAAGGUCUUAGGAUUGUAAAAUUCUUUCACCGGGGACGAUAAUGACGGUACCCGGAGAAGAAGCCCCGGCUAACUUCGUGCCAGCAGCCGCCGUAACAC